AUAAUAUAUACUAUAUUACAUAUAAUGUAUAUAAUAUAUACUAAUAUAAUGAUAAUAAACAUAUUUUAUUUAAAUCACCAAAAGAACUUUUAAAAAUUGUGGGAGGGUUAAAAGAUGUUGCCUCUGGGAAGCAAGUCUAAGGGAGGAGCGGUGCAGUGCGGCCGUUCUUUUGUAUUAAAUGCCUUCUUUGCUCUGACUUCUUAGCCACACGCGAGGGUUACUCCGACCUAUGAAAAGCAUGAAUGAAACGGCCCUGAGGGCAUCACCAGGAACCUGGUCAGCCCCUGGACACUGCCCUCUCUGUCCUCAGGGACACACGGCGGCUGAGUGUGCAAGUGCGUGCUCACACGCCUGCUGGCCCCGUCUCAAGUAUUUUUGAACUUUCUGUGGGUUUGUCUCAUCAAUGACAGUAAUUUUCCCUAUUGACUUGGAUGAUUAAGAAUCGACUCCAAUGAAAACAGAGGGCUUCAGAGAGCCUGUCACCGGCUUCCUUCCCGAACAACGCCUGACCAAGAUUUCCGUGACUCCGCUACACAGCAUCAGAAAACCUCACAAUAGGGCUUACUCACAAUCAUUCGCUCAUCGACUUUUAUUUAACCCACACAAAGAAAUGCCGAGUGCUCUCUGGUGGCCUGGAUCAAGUCCCUUGGAUCCGUGAUGCGAGCGGUGACUUUCUCGGAUGGACAGAUGGACAGAAGAGGUCCCAUGCGCUCCACUCGCUCUAAGAAGAAUGGUCACAUUGAGCCCAGCAGCCAGUGGUGCUGUGGCAAAGCGUGUGGUCACCUCCCACAUGAAGAGGCCUAUUGAUGACCGUGGGACCCGGUGCAAGGGCCCUGGCAGCCGGCCGGAGGCGCGGGACAGUGGGCAGCGUUCCCAGCGCGCCCGGCCGGGAGCCGCAGAGGACACACACGGCGCGUGCACACACUCCGCUCACGUCCAAGGACACACACGGCGCCUGUGCACACUCCGCUCACGCCCAAGGACACACACGGCGCAUACGCACACUCCGCUCACGCCCAAGGACACACACGGCACAUACGCACACUCCGCUCACGCCCACGUGCGAGCGCUUCCCAAGGCAGGGGGCGUACCUUGCCAGGCGCUGGCGCUGAAGCAAGUGGCCUCUCAGGGACCUCCCCCUGCAGCCCCCCAGAGACAGAAGUGA
rnacentral:lncRNA from 1 species